rnacentral:rRNA from 1 species
GAUGAACGCUGGCGGUAUGCUUAACACAUGCAAGUCGAACGAAAGUUUUUAACUUUAGUGGCGAACGGGUGAGUAAUACGUGAGAAUCUGCCCUUAGGAGAAGAAUAACUGCUGGAAACGGCUGCUAAUACUUCAUAUGCCGAGAGGUAAAAAAGUUUUAACUGCCUAAGGAUGAGCUCACGCCUGAUUAGCUUGUUGGUAAGGUAAUGGCUUACCAAGGCCACGAUCAGUAGCUGGUUUGAGAGAACGAUCAGCCACACUGGGACUGAGACACGGCCCAGACUCCUCCGGGAGGCAGCAGUGAGGAAUUUUCCGCAAUGGGCGAAAGCCUGACGGAGCAAUACCGCGUGAGGGAUGAAGGAUUUUGGUCUGUAAACCUCUUUUCUCAGGAAAGAAGUUCUGACGGUACUUGAGGAAUAAGCAUCGGCUAACUCCGUGCCAGCAGCCGCGGUAAUACGGGGGAUGCAAGCGUUAUCCGGAAUCAUUGGGCGUAAAGCGCCUGUAGGUUGUUUAUUAAGUCUGUUGUUAAAGCCUAGGGCUUAACCCUAGAGAAGCAGUGGAAACUGGUAGACUAGAGUAUGCAGGGGUAGAGGGAAUUUCUAGUGUAGCGGUGAAAUGCGUAGAUAUUAGAAAGAACACCAGCGGCGAAGGCGCUCUACUGGACCAUCACUGACACUCAGAGGCGAAAGCUAGGGUAGCAAAAGGGAUUAGAUACCCCUGUAGUCCUAGCCGUAAACGAUGGAUACUAGAUGUUGUGUUUAUUUCACAGUGCCGCAGCUAACGCGUUAAGUAUCCCGCCUGGGGAGUACGCUCGCAAGGGUG